GAUGGUAGUGUAUUGGACUACCAUGGCUCUCACGGGUAACAGGGAAUUAGGGUUCGAUUCUGGAGAAGGAGCCUGAGAAACGGCUACUACAUCUACGGAAGGCAGCAGGCGCGUAAAUUACCCAAUCCUGACUCAGGGAGGUGGUGACAAGAUAUAACAACGCGAUAUUAUCGCGAUUGUAGUGAGGGUAUUCUAAACAGAACCUAUAGUACGAUUAGAGGGCAAGUCUGGUGCCAGCAGCCGCGGUAAUUCCAGCUCUAAUAGCGUAUAUUAAAGUUGCUGCAGUUAAAAAGCUCGUAGUUGGAUUUCAAGGACUGUAAACCCUCUCGGGAAUACAUCCUACUAGUCUCCGGACUGUUACUGUGAGAAAAUUAGAGUGUUUCAAGCAGGCUUUCGCAAGAAUACAUUAGCAUGGAAUAACGAAUGUAUUUAGAAUCUUGGUUAAUUCUAAAUUACGGUUAAUAGAGACAGUUGGGGGCAUUAGUAUUUAAUUGUCAGAGGUGAAAUUCUUGGAUUUGUUAAAGACUAACGUAUGCGAAAGCAUUUGCCAA
rnacentral:rRNA from 1 species